AGAACGAACGCUGGCGGCAUGCCUAACACAUGCAAGUCGAACGAGACCUUCGGGUCUAGUGGCGCACGGGUGCGUAACGCGUGGGAAUCUGCCCUUAGGUACGGAAUAACAGUGAGAAAUUACUGCUAAUACCGUAUGAUGUCUUCGGACCAAAGAUUUAUCGCCUAGGGAUGAGCCCGCGUUGGAUUAGCUAGUUGGUGGGGUAAAGGCCUACCAAGGCGACGAUCCAUAGCUGGUCUGAGAGGAUGAUCAGCCACACUGGGACUGAGACACGGCCCAGACUCCUACGGGAGGCAGCAGUGGGGAAUAUUGGACAAUGGGCGAAAGCCUGAUCCAGCAAUGCCGCGUGAGUGAAGAAGGCCUUGGGUUGUAAGCUCUUUUACCCGGGAAGAUAAUGACUGUACCGGGAGAAUAAGCCCGGCUAACUCCGUGCCAGCAGCCGC
rnacentral:rRNA from 1 species